rnacentral:rRNA from 1 species
AGAACGAACGCUGGCGGCGUGCUUAACACAUGCAAGUCGAGUGCGCGUUCUUGUAGCAAUACAGGAAUGGCGCACGGCGCACGGGUGCGUAACACGUGGGUAAUCUGCCCUCCGAUGGGGAAUAACCCCGCGAAAGCGGGGCUAAUUCCGCAUAAUAUUCCUUGGACUCCGGUUCGAGGAUUCAAAGGCGUAAGUCGUCGGAGGUGGAGCCCGCGCCCGAUUAGCUAGUUGGUGAGGUAACGGCUCACCAAGGCAAUGAUCGGUAGC